rnacentral:rRNA from 1 species
GACAGAGGUCCCGAGCGUUAGGCGGAAUCACUGGGCUUAAAGCGUGUGUAGGCGGCUCGUUAAGUACCUUGUGAAAUCCCACGGCUUAACCGUGGAACUGCUUGGUAUACUGGCGAUCUUGAGCCACUUAGGGGCUACCGGAACAAAUGGUGGAGCGGUGAAAUGCGUAGAUAUCUGGAGGAACACCGGUGGCGAAGGCGGCAUCCUGGACCGACACUGACGCUGAUGAGCGAAAGCCAGGGGAGCAAACGGG